GAUGAACGCUGGCGGCGUGCUUAACACAUGCAAGUCGAGCGGACAGGCGCGGAUCUUGCUCGUUUCACGUUUGGGGCGGGCGGGUGAGUCACACGAGGAUACCCCCCCUAUCUGACUGGGAUAUCUUCGGGACACCGGAUAUAACACCGGAUAAUAUAUUGAACCGUAGGGUUCAAUAGUGAAAGACGGUUUUUCUGUCUCGACUCGCGGCUUCCGCGCUGGUUUGGCUAGUUGGUACGGUCACGGCUUACCAAGGCUAGGAUGCGUGGCCGACCUGCGAGGGUGAUCGGCGACACGGGAACUGAGACGCGGUCCAGACUCCUACGGGAGGCAGCAGUAGGGAAUGGGCGGCAGUGGGGGGAAGCCUGACGCAGCGACGCCGCGUGUGAGAUGAAGGUCUUCGGUGCGUAAAGCCGUGUUAUUGGGGAAGAACAGCUGUGGAAUUAAACAUGGAGGGCUUGACGGUACCGGAUCAAAAAGCACCGGCUAACUACGUG
rnacentral:rRNA from 1 species